UAGGGAAUCUUCCACAAUGGGCGCAAGCCUGAUGGAGCAACACCGCGUGAGUGAAGAAGGGUUUCGGCUCGUAAAGCUCUGUUGUUAAAGAAAAACACGUAUGAGAGUAACUGUUCAUACGUUGACGGUAUUUAACCAGAAAGUCACGGCUAACUACGUGUCCAG
rnacentral:rRNA from 1 species